UACAGAGGUCUCAACCGUUGUUCGGAUUCAUUGGGCGUAAAGGGUGCGUAGGCGGUCGUGCAAGUCGGAUGUGAAAUCUCAGGGCUCAACCCUGAAACUGCAUUCGAUACUGCGCGGCUAGAGUGCUGGAGGGGAGACUGGAAUUUACGGUGUAGCAGUGAAAUGCGUAGAUAUCGUAAGGAAGACCAGUGGCGAAGGCGAGUCUCUGGACAGCAACUGACGCCGAGGCACGAAGGCCAGGGGAGCAAACGGG
rnacentral:rRNA from 1 species